GAUGAACGCUGGCGGCGUGCUUAACACAUGCAAGUCGAACGGUGAAGCCAAGCUUGCUUGGUGGAUCAGUGGCGAACGGGUGAGUAACACGUGAGCAACCUGCCCUGGACUCUGGGAUAAGCGCUGGAAACGGCGUCUAAUACUGGAUAUGAGCUUCUACCGCAUGGUGGGGGUUGGAAAGAUUUUUUGGUCUGGGAUGGGCUCGCGGCCUAUCAGCUUGUUGGUGAGGUAAUGGCUCACCAAGGCGUCGACGGGUAGCCGGCCUGAGAGGGUGACCGGCCACACUGGGACUGAGACACGGCCCAGACUCCUACGGGAGGCAGCAGUGGGGAAUAUUGCACAAUGGGCGAAAGCCUGAUGCAGCAACGCCGCGUGAGGGAUGACGGCCUUCGGGUUGUAAACCUCUUUUAGCAGGGAAGAAGCGAAAGUGACGGUACCUGCAGAAAAAGCGCCGGCUAACUACGUGCCAGCAGCCGCCGUAA
rnacentral:rRNA from 1 species